GACGAACGCUGGCGGCGUGCUUAACACAUGCAAGUCGAACGAAGUGGCGAACGGGUGAGUAACGCGUAAUCAACCUGCCCUUCAGCGGGUGACAUCAGUUUGAAACGACUGCUAAUACCUCAUACUGAAGGUGGGGCUUGCGUCUGAUUAGCUGGUUGGCGGGGUAACGGCCCACCAAGGCGAUGAGCAGUAGCCGGUCUGAGAGGAUGAACGGCCACAUUGGGACUGGGACACGGCCCAGACGCCUACGGGAGGCAGCAGUGGGGAAGCUUCCGCAAUGGAGGAAAGUCUGACGGAGCAACGCCGCGGGAGUGAGGACGGCCUUAGGGUUGUAAAGCUCUGGUAAUCGGGACGUGGUACCGGAAUAGAAAGCCACGGCUAGCUACGUGCCAGCAGCCGCGGUAAUUC
rnacentral:rRNA from 1 species